UAGGCAGGAGGAAGGUCCUGGUUGCCAUGCCAACUCUGACUGAAGCUUUUCAUGGAGAUUUGUUCCCAAUACUUCCCCCUCCCUUCCCAAUAUUUGUCAUAGUAAGAAGCCAGACAAUCUCCAGGGUUGUUUCAGUGACCUGGAGAUGGAUACGGAUUGCUGGAGAUUUCCUGCAGGGCUGGCAAAGGCAACUCUAUCCCAAGUCUGUGUUUUUUGCCCUGAGGCCCAAGUUACUUCUCUGUGGCUCUGCUGAGGUUCAGAGAACGACUUUCCUCCAGAAGUCUCCAUUUCUCGAAAUGCUAGCCGUUAUCAACAAGACUGGAGGUGAUGAAUCGGUCUAGGGCACAACACAGAGGUACAAGUCACUGAGGAAGACAUACGUCGAAAUGCGUCUGACCCAUUGGAAAUGACCCACUGAAAAGGACUCUUACACUUGGAAAAGACUCCUUGUUUCUUGGUGGAAAGCAGAUAUUCCAGUCGGAAUCCAGAGCUACCAGCAGGCAAAGGAAGCAGCCGACCACUCUCUUUGUC